rnacentral:rRNA from 1 species
GGGGAAUAUUGGACCAUGGGCGAAAGCCUGAUCCAGCCAUGCCGCGUGUGUGAAGAAGGUCUUCGGAUUGUAAAGCACUUUAAGUUGGGAGGAAGCGCUGCAAGUUAAUACCUUGUAGUUUUGACGUUACCAACAGAAUAAGCACCGGCUAACUUCGUGCCAGCAGCCGCGGUAAUACGAAGGGUGCAAGCGUUAAUCGGAAUUACUGGGCGUAAAGCGCGCGUAGGUGGGUUGGUAAGAUGGAUGUGAAAUCCCCGGGCUCAACCUGAGAACUGCAGACAGAACGGCGUGAGUAGAGGACGGUAGAGGGGGGUGGAAUUUCCUGGGUAGAGGUGAAAUGCGUAGAUAUAGGAAGGAACACCAGUGGCGAAGGCGACCACCUGGACUGAUACUGACACUGAGGUGCGAAAGCGUGGGGAGCAAACA